AAAAACUUGCCAAAACCUAACAGACAUAAACAAGCAAGUCCCCCUCAAGAACCCUCAAGAAAACCACCAGAUAAAUAAAACAAAACAAAAAAACCCAAAAGACAUUUUAAAAAAGAAAACAAUAGCCUCAUCUCUCUAGCAUGCUUCAACAGCAUCACUACUAUCAUCAUCUUUCUCCAUAGAUCCUUUUCCCUCAACAUACACGAUGGAUUCUUGUAGAAACGAACUGUCGGAGUUCUUAAAUGCCAUUUCCUCCGACCCAUUUCAUCCUCAUCUCAGAGACCUUCUGUCUUUUCCAUCUGUCGCUUCUACUCUAAAAGGCGCCUCCUCAAUCCAGAUCCUCGGCGAUGACCAUUGUUUUCCCUCCUCCGCCAUUGUAUGUGCUAUUUAGUUCACCGAUCAACCCACAAAGCUACAAUCAAGGAGUCCCCCUCCACCACCAGCCUCCAGAAUCUCAGUUCUUUAGCUACCGUCAUCGCUUGUAAGCAGGCUCUCACCUCAGCCAUAGUUGCAUCGGCCACAAAGUUAUUCGAGUAAGUACAGGCUGCCAAAGUAUACCUCUCAUUGUCUCUAAAAAUUAUUCCAGUCACUGAACUAAGCAAUUGUCUCUAAAAAUUAUUCCAGUCACUGAACUAAGCAAACACAUGUUAAAAGCCGCAUCAAAAUUACAUUUAACUACAUUUAUCAUCGAUAGGAUCCAUACCAUGUUAUUCUGACUUAUACUUGUUGUCAUUGUUUCUGUGUGAGUACUCUCUGUAUAAUAGGCUUUAACAAAAGAAACAAGGCCAAUUAUACUCUGCCUUUCACCUUGAUGAUAGACCUUGUUUCUGUGGUACCAAACCGCCUAGAAAACAAUGGCUAACCAUUUGCAUUGAUCUUCUCCUCUACUGACAAAUAAAUUUGCUAACCAUAUUUUCCAAUUUUGUCCUUGAAUACUGGGUGAGACGUCAAUACCCACCCUCAUUGCAGGACACUUUGAAAAAUAUGGUUCACAGACUCGUCCAUUAUACGACAGAGAGGACAACAAUUCACCACCAGCAAUUUCUUCAACUGUAAAUUAUUAAAUGUAGGGAUGUAAUUAUUAGCCAGUUUCCAUAUUGUAAUUUUAAUUUUGCUCACAAUUUGUAAUCUCCAUAAUUUGUUGUAGAAAUUCUAUAAUAGUGUAUUUUGUUGUACCACCUCCCCAGGCAAUGUUGCCUCACCUUCAUUUAGCAGCCAUUUAUAUCCAUUUUUUACCGAAUACACUAUUGUAUUAUCACCUCUCCACACCCUCUCAUCUCUAAGAUCAACUUCAGCAACUAGGAUAGCCAAUAUUCUAUUUACUUGCUCUUCAACAAAAAACUUUCUCAGUGUCUCUAAAUUCCAGGGCUAAAUGUUUAUCGAUCUGCCAUUUCCAACUCUCCAACCAUACCUAGUUCCAAAAGAUUCCAUGCACCCCAAAUGCUUCUUCAGGAAUUAAUGAGGCGAGCCAAUCAGCACCAACUCCAAAAUCAUCAGAUGCUC